rnacentral:rRNA from 1 species
UACGUAGGGGGCAAGCGUUGUCCGGAUUCAUUGGGCGUAAAGAGCGUGUAGGCGGCCAGGUAGGUCGGUUGUGAAAACUUGAGGCUCAACCUCAAGCUGUCGGUGGAAACCACAUGGCUAGAGUCCGGAAGAGGAGAGUGGAAUUCCUGGUGUAGCGGUGAAAUGCGCAGAUAUCAGGAAGAACACCAAUGGCGAAGGCAGCUCUCUGGGACGGUACUGACACUGAGACGCGAAAGCGUGGGGAGCGAACAGG